rnacentral:rRNA from 1 species
AUUGAACGCUGGCGGAAUGCUUUACACAUGCAAGUCGAGCGGCAGCGCGGGGCAACCUGGCGGCGAGCGGCGAACGGGUGAGUAAUGUAUCGGAACGUGUCCUUGAGUGGGGGAUAGCCCGGUGAAAACCGGAUUAAUAGCGCAUACGCAGGAGAGUGGAAAGCGGGGGAUCGCAAGACCUCGCGCUGGAGGGGCGGCCGAUAUCCGAUUAGGUAGGUGGGGAGGUAAAGGCUGACCAUGGCUGUGAUCGGUAGCUGGUCGGAGAGGAUGAUCAGCCACACCGGGACUGGGACACGGGCCAGACUCGUACGGGAGGUAGGAGUGGGGAAUUUUGGACAAUGGGGGCAACCCUGAUCCAGCCAUUCCAAGUGAGUGAAGAAGGCCUUCGGGUUGUAAAGCUCUUUUGUCGGGGACGAAACGGUUACGGUUAAUACCUGUGACUACUGACGGUACCCGAAGAAUAAGCACCGGCUAACUCCGUGCCAGCCGCCGCUGUAACAC